UAUGGCCAUAUCACGUUGAAACACCGGUUCUCGCACGAUCACUGCAGUUAAGCACGGACGGGUCUGGUCAGUACCUAGGUGGGUGACUGCCUGGGAAUACCCCCUGC